rnacentral:rRNA from 1 species
GACGAACGCUGGCGGCGUGCUUAACACAUGCAAGUCGAACGGUGAAGCGCUUGCCUUUUUGGUGGGUGUGGAUGAGUGGCGAACGGGUGAGUAACACGUGAGUAACCUGCCCUCUUCUUCUGGAUAACCUCAUGAAAGUGGGGCUAAUACGGGGUAUUCCGGGUCUGUCGCAUGGCGGGUUUGGGAAAGAUUGCGCCUUUGGGUGUUUUCGGUGGGGGAUGGGCUCGCGGCCUAUCAGCUUGUUGGUGGGGUGAUGGCCUACCAAGGCGGUGACGGGUAGCCGGCCUGAGAGGGUGGACGGCCACACUGGGACUGAGACACGGCCCAGACUCCUGCGGGAGGCAGCAGUGGGGAAUAUUGCACAAUGGGCGCAAGCCUGAUGCAGCGACGCCGCGUAAGGGAUGGAGGCCUUCGGGUUGUGAACCUCUUUCGCCAGUGAAGCAGGCCUGCCUCGUUUGUGGGUGGGUUGACGGUAGCUGGAUAAGAAGCGCCGGCUAACUACG